AAAAAACUUUCUUUCUUCCCUCUUUUUGAGUUUUGGUAUUAGGGUAUCUUCUAACCCACUGAUUUCCGCAGGCUUUCAUCUUUCUCCUAUCAUCGCCUUGCUGUGUCCUCGUUCUUUAGCUAACAUGUUCAAUAAGCUGCUGCAGGAUAAGGCUUUAGGUGAAGAAUCCUAGGGGUAGUUCUUCUUCCAAACGUCCACUAUCAAAGAUUCCUCUUUCCACCCUUGCAAGUUCGGCUUUUAUUGGUGAUUCCAAAAGGAAACGCCAAGCAGAGCCCAUGUAUACUAUUUAAACUGUUUUAAGAGAAUAUAGUUAGGUGAUAAAAACACAGGCUAAUCGAAGUGACCUAAGUAGGAAAUACGCCAACAUGAUGACUUAAAGGAGCGUGUGCCAGCAAGGCGUCUUAAGUAAGCGUAUCCCAGCAAUGCGACUUAAAUGAAUGUGCUCCAACAGGGCAUCUUAAUUAAGCGUGCGCCAGCAAAGUGACUUAAAUGAAUGUGCGCCAGCAGGACGUCUUAAGUAAGCGUGCUCCAACAAGGCAACUUAAAUAAUUGUGCUCUAGUAGGACGUCUUAUGUAAGCGUGUGCCAGCAAGGCAACUUAAAUAAAUGUUGAGCUUAUACGGCGCAUUGAGAUUCAA